rnacentral:rRNA from 1 species
AUUGAACGCUGGCGGCAGGCCUAACACAUGCAAGUCGAGCGGAGCGGGGGACGGGUGCGUAAUGCCUAGGAAUCGGCCUGGUCGUGGGGGAUAACGUCCGGAAACGGGCGCUAAUACUGCUAACUUUCAGUAGCGCCUAGGUCGGAUUAGCUAGUUGGUGGGGUAAAGGCCUACCAAGGCGACGAUCCGUAACUGGUCUGAGAGGAUGAUCAGGCACACUGGGACUGAGACACGGUCCAGACUCCUACGGGAGGCAGCAGUGGGGAAUAUUGGACAAUGGGCGAAAGCCUGAUCCAGCCAUGCCGCGUGUGUGAAGAAGGUCUUCGGAUUGUAAAGCACUUUAAGUUGGGAGGCGUUACCAACAGAAUAAGCACCGGCUAACUCCGUGCCAGCAGCCGCGGUAAUUC